CUACGGGGGGCUGCAGCUAAGAAUCUUCCGCAAUGGACGAAAGUCUGACGGAGCGACGCCGCGUGAACGAUGAAGGCCGUGAGGUUGUAAAGUUCUUUUCCGAGGGGAGAAUAAGGAUGGCAGGGAAUGGCCGUCUGAUGACGUGAACUCGGGAAUAAGCCCCGGCUAACUACGUGCCAGCAGCCGCGGUAACACGUAGGGGGCGAGCGAUGUUCGGAAUCAUUGGGCGUAAAGGGUGCGCAGGCGGUUAUGCAAGUCUGGUGUGAAAGGUCUCGGCUCAACCGAGGAAACGCGCUGGAAACUGUGUAACUAGAGUACAGGAGGGGGAGUUGGAAUUCCAGGUGUAGGGGUGAAAUCUGUAGAUAUCUGGAAGAACACCGGUGGCGAAGGCGAACUUCUGGCCAUGUACUGACGCUGAGGCACGAAGGCGUGGGGAGCAAACAGGAUUAGAUACCCCAGUAGUC
rnacentral:rRNA from 1 species